UUCCCCUUUUUCUUUUUUAACUUUAAUUUUUUUAACUAAUUAAGUAAACGAAUUUGGGUUUUUUUUUACAGUGAAGUGGGAAUUACACGUGGCAAAGAGAAUCCACUUUGGUUUGGUUCUUUUGAAAAUGAAAUGACAAUGAUGGGCAUAGUAAGGGAUCGAGGAGCGAGGCUCAGGCACAUUCCAUAAUUCAAUCAAUUCUCUUUUCCCUCCUGGAGCCGUUACGUUCUAUUUCCACGGCAUACUUUUGUUCCCUCUAUCUUCUACAUUCACGACCACACCAUCCUACAUAAACACCCGUUCAUCUAUCUACACGUGUUGCCUUCUCAACAAGCGCUCCAUUAAAUAAAUAAUUAUAAUAAAUUCAAUCCGUUGUCAUUUUAUUUCAACACAACACUCGUGGUACAACACAACCAAUUCUCAUGAUUUAUCCAAAACCAUCACGAUCAAUUUCCCAUCAAUAAAAAUGAUUAAAAUCAUAAUCCAAAUCAAUCAUAAUCAUUUUAAUUAUAAUUAUAAAUCCACCCAACCCCAUCAAUUUAAAACUCCAAAUUACCAAAAAUAAGGUGUUCAUUUUGUUUACCCAUGAAUAAAAAUUUUGUUAAUUUGUUC